AGAACAUGAUGGGGUCUCAUUUUAAUGCCUCUCCAGACCUAGUAAUUUAAAAGGACUCACAUUCCUCAGAUAAAAGUGCUUUCUCAAAAAAGAAAUAAUCAGGGCAAAACCAAGUGCUGUAGGAGCCUUACAUGAGUAUGAUUAUUCCUACUUUACAGCAGGAGUACCUCUGAGGUUCAGAGGUUUGGGAUGGCAGGCCUUCGAUUUGAGCCAGAACACAGUCCAAUCCCCAAGAGGCAUAUUCUCCAGGACUAAAGAUGGCGCCCACGGCCGGCGUUAUGACGCGCCCCGACGUCCGCCGGAAGUGCACGGAGGAGUUCCGAGAACCAGGCGGCCGCCGAGAGUCUGGUAUCCUGAGCUUCGUGAGUUGAGCGCUGCUGCUCCACGGUGGAGUCACCGCAUCGCUCCCGUGAUCAUGGUGUUCUACUUCACCAGCAGCAGCGUUAAUUCAUCUGCCUACACUAUUUACAUGGGAAAAGAUAAAUAUGAAAAUGAAGAUCUGAUCAAGCAUGGCUGGCCUGAAGAUAUCUGGUUUCAUGUGGACAAACUCUCUUCGGCUCAUGUAUACCUUCGAUUACAUAAGGGAGAGAAUAUAGAAGACAUCCCAAAGGAAGUGCUGAUGGACUGUGCCCACCUUGUGAAGGCCAAUAGCAUUCAAGGUAAAAAUUGUGACAGUGGAGAAGAAAGUAAAUGAGAUCCUGAACCGAUUAGAAAAGACCAAAGUGGAGCGGUUCCCAGACCUAGCAGCAGAGAAAGAAUGCAGAGAUCGUGAAGAGAGGAAUGAGAAAAAAGCCCAAAUUCAGGAAAUGAAAAGGAGAGAAAAAGAAGAAAUGAAGAAGAAGAGGGAAAUGGAUGAACUUAGGAGCUAUUCAUCACUAAUGAAAGUUGAAAAUAUGUCUUCAAAUCAGGAUGGCAAUGAUUCAGAUGAAUUCAUGUAAAAGGAGAAAAGGACCUUUGAAAGAUGUGAAUGUAGAGACAAUUGCAGACCUUUUGGUUUCAUCUGUGUUCUGAAGUAUAAAAUACAACCAAAAUUCUACCUUCAUCCUACCCAGAAAUUAUUGAUUUUCGAGUUUUAAAAAAAUUGUACCUUUUUUGCUGACAGAAAAGGAUCAGAUAUGUAUAAAAUAGUUGAACUUGACAGCAUAUAACCUAACGUGAAAAUGUUUUUGCCAGAACAUGUCUUGGUACCUUGUGAAAGCAGGCUGCCCUUGUUCUUGAGAUAGACUUUAAAGUGAAACAACUCUGAAAAGUACUUCUGUUGCUCUGGUCUAUCCCUGAAAACAGAUGUCUUGAAACACUUUUCAUAUUCUUAAAAUAAUCUUCACUUCUGUUAAGAAGAACAUGUUGGUGGGUAAUUAUGCGAAUGUUUCCCUGUCCCUGAUUUCCCGAUUAGAAAAAAGGGCGUAUGGGUUUUGAAAAAGAGAUUUUUCAGAAGAUUGUAAGCUUCACUAUUCAUGUUCCAUCGUGUCAUCUGGGUCUAUAGUGUAGUGACCCUCAACAGUCUGUCCCAGCUUUUAUAUCCUUGCUUCCUCUGAGCAGGGGCCUCCAUCUUAGUAUCAUCAUAUUUAAAGAAAUCGAUGGUGUUCAUCAAGGUGGGGCCUGUGGCAGUUGUUGCCUGAGCACCGAGUAACCCAAGCCACCUAUGCGACAACUUCUGGGCCCAGGAGUAAUUUCUCAGCAUUGAGGGUAAAAUAGGAUGGAGUGCUCUGUUGAUCAUUUGGGAGAUGUAGGCUACCUGAUUUGUGCCUUGGGAUGCAGCGUGAAGCAGAAGUCCAUAUUGCAGUUGUGAUUUUAGAAGGAACUAAGCGUUUCACUAGCCAGCCAAGUAAUUAUUUUCUUUACCUUGAAGUCAUAUUUGAGUUGUAACCCCAGAGUUAAUUUCUCAUUGUAGAUUCAGUAACUUAGUAUGUAACAUUACUUCUCACGCGAACCCCUCGCUAUCUGUUGUGGUUCUGAGCAGAGGAUGUCUUUUGAUUGCAGUAUGUAAGGCAACCCCUGUGGAAGGAGGCGAAACAAGGAGAAAGAGAACAAAGCCUGCCGGACCAGAGGCGAAGAGAUGGAUAUUUUACUCACACCCACAGCAGCAAGAAUGACCUCCUGCAGCAGAUAUUCCACCUGUAAUAGCACUUUGGAACUGUGGGCAAAACCAAAAGGCUAGUGUUUCCAUUUAUUUCACGUUGGUGAAUGGGGUUGAACUGGAAAAUUCACGGAGGCAUAACUCACUGGCCGAAUUUUGAGAGGGUGUAGAAGAUGACUUUAGAGAUGAGUGGUUUUGUUUAUGUGUCUAAUGAUAUUCAGUCUGACGUUCUGCAAUUUUAAAAGUUAUAAUAAAGUAUCAUUUUUUUUAUCUGGAAGGACAUUGAUAUAUGUAUUCUUAGAAUUUGCUAUAAAAAGGGUAGCCCCCAUUCCACAAGCUGAUUUUGAGGGUGAUCUUACUGUAAAAAACCUCAUUCAUCAUAGGCUUAGUCUGACAGAUUCCGUAGGGGACUAUCAUCUUUCUCCUCCUCUGCUAAAUGCCUCUUUCUUCCAGCUGCUCACUGGGUCGAAGGGAUGUCCUUUCUCAGAUACACUCUUGAUUGACUGUGAAUUCAUAGCUGUGCUCCUUCCGUACUUCCAAGGAGUCCGGCUUCUGCAGAAUUCCUCUGUACCUCACACUGCAACACGUGUAGAUAGCGCCUUUGAAGAAUACCUAUAUUUUUACUAUAGUAUGAGAAGUCCUGGGGCUCAAAUUUUAAACAUUUCCUAACUCUCAGCUUACACUGGUUUAAAAUGUCCAGGUCUCUCUGCUGAAUUCUCUUGUUGAAUUCGUAACUGUCCAACCUCAUCUAUGUUGAUUCCUACGCCCCCACUCCCCAGCCUCUGUGUUUUAUUUUUUUCCCCAUCUCUGCUGGUCCCAGGGAAAGCAAGGACGUUUUCUUUUGAGGACUUAUAGGUUGAUCGCCCACAGGUCAAACUGUUGGCAUUGAACCGCUCUCAUUUCUUGCUAUUGGAUUGUUUCCUAAACGUUGGAUAGGGGAAUUCGAAAUUGUUGCUAUUUUUAUGAGCUGUGCCCUUGAUCAAAUCUGUGCUGUGGGUCUGAGUCACUUUGCCAACACUGUCUUCAGUUUCACCACUCUGAUCAGCAUGCAGGCGAGGGGCAUGUUUAGUUUACUUCCCUAACUGCUGUCUUCUAUAGCUUUGGACUUCAUAUUUCUUAUCCACUUUUGUCUAGGCUUUAUGGGCAGGGGAACUUUGUCACCGUGGUUGGGCUACAACAAAUCUUAAGAAGUUUACCAACACAGAUGUUGAGAAGUUUAUCGAAAAGCACUGACAUUAGCAGAAUAGGUGAUGGACAUUAGUUGAAUCUCUUCAGUGUCUAUGUGUUUUGUUGUAUUGUCUUUCACUUGUUCUUGAAGCAUAGAUUGCAGCGAGCCUUUCAGCUGUUCAGUGCCAGCGGUUUUCCCCACUCAGAAAAGAUGGUGUGAGCCAUGCACACAGCCGGCAGGAUUAGACGGGGAGAGUUUCAGCUGCAGCUUCUAGUUUAAGACCAAAGCCCUUCCUCCCACUAUUGCAUCUGUCUGAGAGGGGGAAGUUCUUGUUUUCCAAGCUGGAACUGUUUAUGAGGAAAACGGAGCAGAGUGGCAAAAUGGAAAAGGAACAAUUUUCUAAUUUUUCCUGACACGUGAUACUGAGGCCUGCUUUUCUUUGAUUUGAGGUACAGCAUGUGAAUAACAAAUUUCCAUAUUCAAAAUGAUCAUAUUAGAGUGACUGGAUGACCUUUUGAUUUUAAAGCAGACUAAAACCUAAUCAGACUACAACCAAAAGUAUACAAUUAGAAACUUAAAUUCCAAGCUAAAUUUCAGCUUUGACCCACCUAACUCCAGUGAAUAGGUGGCAGCUCAGAAACAAGGACGGCACUGCUGCUGCCCGGGCAAGCUCACAUCCAGCUGGCACUUCGUGAGAGCUCCUUCCUGCCAGGCACGUGUGAGUUCAGUGUGGGCAAGAGACUUUUAUGCACAUUCUGUCGUUCAAAAGGGAGAUGAUACCAACCCCAGAUGCAGCAUGUCCUGAAUGAAUGAUCUGUAAAAUACAAUAAUAAAAGCUUAUAGUUUGAGUAGAA